UCUGAACUUGAUGUUAUCAACAAACAACUCAGAUUUCAUGAGAGUCUGAGGAUUCCGACAUGGCUGUAACCAAGUCACGUAGUGCAGAAAACGAUUUUUAUUUAAGUUACCCCCAAAGCCUGCUGCUGAAGACAGCAGGACCUCUGGCAACCUACAUCCCUGAACUGCUGUUUGGAUCAGACUUCUCCCACCACUCUCUCCAAGCUGGACUCAUCUUCAACGUGUAGAUCUCCCAAGACGAGUCCAGUUCUUCUGACACUCAAUAGUGUAAGGGAAGCUAAGGUAGGCGAUGCCAACAUCUAUAAGCUUUAUCAUUGGUGAGCUUUUUGGAGGGAAAUCGUUCCCUUAUCUAAGUAAACCAGAUGAAUGAAAAUCAUCUCGAGAUUAAAAAUGAUCAUGUGGAC